AGAGUUUGAUCCUGGCUCAGAACGAACGCUGGCGGCAUGCCUAACACAUGCAAGUCGAACGAGACCUUCGGGUCUAGUGGCGCACGGGUGCGUAACGGGUGGGAUUCUGCCCUUGGGUACGGAAUAACAGUUAGAAAUGACUGCUAAUACCGUAUAAUGACUUCGGUCCAAAGAUUUAUCGCCCAGGGAUGAGCCCGCGUCGGAUUAGCUAGUUGGUGAGGUAAAGGCUCACCAAGGCGACGAUCCGUAGCUGGUCUGAGAGGAUGAUCAGCCACACUGGGACUGAGACACGGCCCAGACUCCUACGGGAGGCAGCAGUGGGGAAUAUUGGACAAUGGGCGCAAGCCUGAUCCAGCAAUGCCGCGUGAGUGAUGAGGGCCUUAGGGUUGUAAAGCUCUUUACCCGGGAAGAUAAUGACUUACCGGAGAAAAGCCCCCU
rnacentral:rRNA from 1 species